rnacentral:rRNA from 1 species
UUAGAGUUUGAUCCUGGCUCAGAUUGAACGCUGGCGGCAUGGCUAAAACAUGCAAGUCGAACGAUCCCUUCAGGGAGAGUGGCGAAAGGGCGAGGAAUAUAAUCUAAUGUGUCCUAAGGUUGGGGAUAGCUCUUGGAAACGAGAGGUAAUACCCAAUGUCCUCUACGGAGAAAAGGUUUACCGCCUUUGGAGCAGCGAUUAUCCUAUCGGGAAUUUGGUGAGGUAAAGGCUCACCAAGCCGAAGACGGGUAGCGGGUGUGAGAGCAUGACCCGCCGCAUCGGGACUGAGACACUGCCCGGACUCCUACAGGAGGCUGCGGUAUCCAAUCUUCCCCAAUGGGCGAAAGCCUGACCGAACAAUGCCUCGUGUGGGAUCAAGCAUCUUCCAUGUGUAAACCACUGUCACAAUCUGCAAAUAAUGAUCACAUUCAGAGGAAGGGCCCGCUAAUCUCGUGCAAUCAGGCGCGGGAAUACGAGAGGACCGAGCGUGAUUCGCAAUCACUGGGCUUAAAGCGUACGCGCGCGGAUUUGUAUGUAUCUUGUGAAAUCCCACGGCUCUACCGUGUAACUGCAAGGUAGACCACCUGUCUUGAGACGAGUACGGGUCAUUGGAA